rnacentral:rRNA from 1 species
AGUGAACGCUGGCGGUAGGCCUAACACAUGCAAGUCGAACGGCAGCACAGUAAGAGCUUGCUCUUACGGGUGGCGAGUGGCGGACGGGUGAGGAAUACAUCGGAAUCUACUUUUUCGCGGGGGAUAACGUAGGGAAACUUACGCUAAUACCGCAUACGACCUACGGGUGAAAGCAGGGGAUCUUCGGACCUUGCGCGAUUGAAUGAGCCGAUGUCGGAUUAGCUAGUUGGCGGGGUAAAGGCCCACCAAGGCGACGAUCCGUAGCUGGUCUGAGAGGAUGAUCAGCCACACUGGAACUGAGACACGGUCCAGACUCCUACGGGAGGCAGCAGUGGGGAAUAUUGGACAAUGGGCGCAAGCCUGAUCCAGCCAUACCGCGUGGGUGAAGAAGGCCUUCGGGUUGUAAAGCCCUUCUGUUGGGAAAGAAAAGCAGCAGGUUAAUACCCCGCUGUUCUGACGGUACCCAAAGAAUAAGCACCGGCUAACUUCGUG